rnacentral:rRNA from 1 species
GUAGGUGGCAAGCGUUGUCCGGAAUUAUUGGGCGUAAAGCGCGCGCAGGCGGUCCUUUAAGUCUGAUGUGAAAGCCCACGGGCUCAACCGUGGAGGGUCAUUGGAAACUGGGGGACUUGAGUACAGAAGAGGAAAGCGGAAUUCCAAGUGUAGCGGUGAAAUGCGUAGAGAUUUGGAGGAACACCAGUGGCGAAGGCGGCUUUCUGGUCUGUAACUGACGCUGAGGCGCGAAAGCGUGGGGAGCAAACAGGAUCAGAUACCCUGGUAGUCCACGCCGUAAACGAUGAGUGCUAAGUGUUAGGGGGUUUCCGCCCCUUAGUGCUGCAGCUAACGCAUUAAGCACUCCGCCUGGGGAGUACGGCCGCAAAGGCUG